AGGCUUUGAUCCUGGCUCAGGACGAACGCUGGCGGCGUGCCUAACACAUGCAAGUUGAACGGACCGACAUACCGGAACCUUCAGGGGAAGGUAUGAAAGGUUAGUAGCGGACGGAUGAGUAACACGUGGGCAAUCUGCCCUUUAGACUGGGAUAACACCGGGAAACCGGUGCUAAUACCGGAUGAGAUUCUUUCCUGGCAUCAGGAAAGGAUGAAAGGAGGCCUCUCUAUAGAAGCUCCCGCUAAAGGAUGAGCCCGCGGCCCAUUAGCUGGUUGGUAGGGUAAUGGCCUACCAAGGCGACGAUGGGUAGCCGGCCUGAGAGGGUGAACGGCCACACUGGGACUGAGACACGGCCCAGACUCCUACGGGAGGCAGCAGUGGGGAAUAUUGCGCAAUGGGGGAAACCCUGACGCAGCAACGCCGCGUGAACGACGAAGGCCUUCGGGUCAUAAAGUUCUGUCAAGUGGGACGAAGUACUUAACGGUUAACAGCCGUUGAGGUGACGGUACCUAAAGAGGAAGUCCGGCUGAA
rnacentral:rRNA from 1 species